AUUGAACGCUGGCGGCAGGCCUAACACAUGCAAGUCGAACGAGUGGCGGACGGGUGAGUAAUGUCUGGGAAACUGCCCGAUGGAGGGGGAUAACUACUGGAAAAGGUAGCUAAUAACGCAUACCAUCGGAUGUGCCCAGAUGGGAUUAGCUAGUAGGUGGGGUAAAGGCGCACCUGGGCGAUGAUCCCUAGCUGGUCUGAGAGGAUGACCAGCCACACUGGAACUGAGACACGUUCCAGACUCCUACGGGAGGCAGCAGUGGGGAAUAUUGCACAAUGGGCGCAAGCCUGAUGCAGCCAUGCCGCGUGUAUGAAGAAGGCCUUCGGGUUGUAAAGUACUUUCAGCGUGGAGGCGUUACCCGCAGAAGAAGCACCGGCUAACUCCGUGCCAGCCGCCGCGGUAAUUC
rnacentral:rRNA from 1 species